rnacentral:lncRNA from 1 species
AAAUUUUUUUUUCUUUCUUUUUUUUUAAAUUAGACACUGUCGCUGUCUUUAGACUCAUGAGAAGAUGGCUUAAGAUCCCAUUACAGAUGGUUGUGAGCCAUCAUGUGGUUGCUGGGAAUUGAACUCAGGACCUCUUGGAGUCAGUGUUCUUAACUGCAGAGCCAUCUCUCCAGUCUCUAAAUUCUAACACUGAAAGUUUGGUAGCGUACACUGUUCAGCUGAGUUUAGUAGUAGAGCUAACCCAUUUAUUAAUGUUCAAUUCAGUAGGUAUGUUUCAUUGUUACUUGAUUUAGAAAAGAUUUCAGUCUAGCUCAGGUGUCUUUGAACUAUUAUGUUCUCAGCCUCCCAAGUGCUGGGUUUAAAGGCAUAUACCACCACACACUAGUCCCAUGUUUCUUUAAUUUAGAAAUACCUAAAACAUUCAGUUUUCAGGAGUAAAUAGAAAUUUAUCAGAAAGACUAUCAAUGAAGAAGCAAAAUCUCUGCAGAAAAUAUUGCUUAUACAAAAGCAUAUACACACGAAAAAGAACAUGCCCCCAUAGUCUCAUGACUUAAGAAACUAAGGUAGGAGAAUCAUUCAGGGUUUGAAAGUAGGGCUAGAAUGUAUCUCAGUUUUUAGACUGUUCUUGCCAGUGGGCCUCAUGACAUGAGGAUUUGAUUCCUAGCACUAUAUACCAGUUAUGUGGCCAGCUUGAAACUUCAAGACUCUUACCUCAAAAAGAAACAAAAAAGCAGUGCUUAGAAAACUAUAAAUAUAACAUUAUUGCUAAAGCAAAAAGUAAAGCACACUAAGGUGAAAAAUGAAGCUGAGUUGCUGUUAUUAUAUAUCUUACUAAGGAGCUUUUAUCUCUAGUUCAAUUGGGAUGGCAUUCAAGUGUGUCUAAGUAAAGUACUAUUUAAGAUUAUGUGGCUUUAUUGUGAGGCAAACAUGAGGUAAAGAUACUAAAUCUUAAACUGGAACUGGGAACAUUCUUACCAUCACAGCUACUAGGAUAAUUAAAGUGGGGGGUGUCAGGAGUUUGAUGGCAGCUUGGGCAAUUUUGUAAGACAUACUUUGGAGAAAGUUGGUUUUAGUUUCAGGGAAGAUUUCUUUUGUUUUUGUUGUUUGGGUUUUUUUUUUUUUUUAAUCAUUCUACAACUCAAAAUCUCUUAUUAAAGGUGAAAGUCUAUUACUCUUAAGUCUAGAUCUUUAAUAGUUAGUUAAUCUGUACUCCUAGCUACUUAGAAGGUUGGAGCAGGAGAAACAUGCAUUAAGUUUGCUCAAUAACUAUGAAGACUAUCUACCUGGAAUAGUGGUGAAUGCAUUUGAUCCCUGCCCUUGGAAGGCAGGGGCAGGUGGUUCUCUGAACUAAAGGCCAGCCUGGCUUCUGUAUCUAGUUUGAGGCCAACCAGGAAUACAUAGCAAGACCUUGUUUCAAAAACAACAACAACAAAAACAACUAUUUUUUUGUCCUGGAACUCGCUGUUUUGACUACCCUGGCCUUGAGAUAACAGAGAUCAAUCUUCCUCUGCCUCCAGAGGACUGAGAUUAGAGGCAGGUUCCACUGCAUUUGGCUUAGUUUUUACAUUUUAUUAAGUGCCACAGGAGACAAGGGCUCUUCCAUCAGUACAGGUAUUCAACAGUUCUUUCAUGGUUUGCCCUGAGGAUUAUGUGAGUGGCUGUACAUAUGGAUACAUUCCCAUUUUUAACACAUUCACUAGGUGGUUAAAACAUAUGGCCUGGUUUUAUCAUGGCAGCAUACUUGAUAUAGGAACUGAAUGUGGAGAUAAGAGCUAGCCUGGUUUCUAUGAUAAUUCAUUAUGUAAGUAAAAAAAAAAAAAAAAAAAAAGACCAAAAUGUUCAUCUUAUGGUUUUACGGGUUUUUUUUUUUGUUUGUUUGUUUUUAUUUAUGAACAAAGGUCUCACUUUGUUUCUCUAUCUCACAGUAAUCCUGCUUCAGCCCCCAAGUUCUGAGAUGUAAAUUGUAUACCCAACUUGAGCCUGUAUUGUGUUAGAGAGACCUGGCUUUCUGUUUUAGAAGGGCAUUAAUAAAUACUAUAUGGUGCAAGACUGAAGGCAGUGAAACCUGCUAAAAGUAUCAAAAGAGGUUAGGUUGAUGCAGCAGGAGUUAAGCUCAUGUAGAUGGACAGGUUUUGCUUCUUAGUGUGCACAAGAGAAUUAACAACCAGCUAUAAUUCCUGUUCUAAACAAUUCAGUAUUCUUUCCUGGCCUCUAAGGGUUCUUGCAUAUAUGUAGUAUGUGUAAAAUCAUGCGCGCACACAUAUACUCGUAUAAAAAUACUAUAUAUACUUACAAUAAGAUGGCCUCUGGACUGGAGAGAUGGCUCAGUGUUUAAGAGAACUGCCUGCUCUUCUAGAGGUCCCGAGGUCAAUUCCCAGCAACCACAUGGUUCCUCACGACCAUCUGUAAUGGAAUUUGAUGCCCUCUUCUGGUGUGUUUGAGACAGUGUACUCACAUACAUUUU